UUAGACUUCUAAUCUAGUAGCUUUUCCUUGUUUCAUUUGGCUUCAGACUUGGGUCUUUUAUUUCUAGAGCUGAGUCCAUGCUGCUGAAAGAAGGGCCCUGUGGAUAUUCACUCUGUAGCCCUCAGGACAUCAUACCUAGCUGUUUAUGCAUCUGAACUUGGGUCUCUGCUGCCAAACUGGAAUUGGAGCAGCGGGAAGGUCUGGAAUGAGGUUCUGCUUGGUCCCAGAGAAGACCCACUCACUGCUUCUCCAUCAUGUCCACCUGCAGUUCGAAACCUUUGCACUGAUCAUCUUCCAUGACCGUGGAUGUAUAAGUUGUGCCACUGCAGGUCAGAUAACUGCAGCAGCCAAGUUCUUGGAGGCGCUGUUGAGAUCUGCCUUUCAGAAGCCUUUCUGCAGUCUCAUGAAUGGAUGGACACACUCUGACUUCCUCUCCCACAGAUGCUACCUCUCUCCAGGCGUAUCAUGGCUCCUGCAGCCAUGUCUGGCCUCCACAGAACACUCAGCACAGAGUUACCAAAGUAGGAGUUCAGGAAAUACCUUUGAAUGAAUGGAUGAUCUGAAAAACCUUUCUUUCAGGUGGAGAGGAUCAUUCCAAGACAAUGAAGUCUUUCACAGUGGGCCCCUCUGAGGAUCCUGACUCAGCUUGCAUCCUGUGGAAAGUUCUGGGUUGUUUGUCUUGUCAUAAAAACAAGUUUCCUGCACCAGCCUUUGUAGUUUCCUCACCAGCUGUUUCCACUUCCAAAGUGGAUCCUUCAGAAUGCCUAACGAAGAGUUCAGGUAAAAAAUCGUGGGGUUGUGUGACUAUUCUUGAUUUCUCCCAGCGUAUUUUUCUGCUUAUUUUCUUUUCCAAGGUAGGCCUACCAACCUCCCAGGGCUUUGAAGUGAGAAAGAAGCCUUCUCUCUUCAUUUGCUUCCCAAGACUGUUGGCUGGAGCCAGGCUUUUACCUGAUUGUAAUGGAGAUUAACUCCUCUGGCUGACAUGGAAUGAAAAUUCAAAGACAGUUCUGAAAAUAGCAAAGAAGGUUGUAGAGGGUUCUCAGUGGCAGCAGCUCAUUUGUCAGUAGAAACGCGGAGACCAUCCCCUUAGUAGGGACUGGCAACUAUGUUCUAGGAUCCAUAUUUUCACUCUACCUGCUAUCUCUACAGGACAGUAUCACGCAGGAGUUUGUAGUAGGAAAGGAGGAAGCCAGGGAUCCUCUUACAUUCCAGUGAAAAUGGAAAAAAAUUUUUCAUCUCUUCUCAAACUUGCAGGGAUCCUCUUACAUUCCAGUGAAAAUGGAAAAAAGUUUUUCAUCUCUUCUCAAACUUGAACAAUCCCCAACUAACUUAGCUUUAUGAAAUAUGUAUUGUGUGCAAAUUCCCUGCUCUAAAACAAAUUAUCCCCCAUGCAGAAUAAGAAAAAAUGGGUUUAGUUUAUAGAGUGAGGAUCUUUGAUAAUAUCAUGUGCCUUUUUAAGAAAAAAAUAUUUUUUUUUAUUGAGGUAUAAUUCACAUAUCGUGAAAGUUGUUAAAUCGUAGCAGGAAUUAACAAGGGAGGUAAGGAAUCUCUUGAAGAGUUCUUGCUCAAGCAUCUCAGACAAAUGGAAAGCCACCCUCCUAUCCAUUUCCUAAAAUUCAUGGGUAUAUACCAGGGCUGCAAACUAUUACUCUUUGGCAGCUGCCUUUUUUUGCAUAUAAAGUUUUAUCGGAAAGUGUCCACACCCAUAAUUUACGUAUUGUCCAUGGCUGCCUUCAUGCUACAGUGGCAGAGCUGAGUAGUUGCACAGAGUGUAUGGCCUAUGAGGAGGGGGAAAAUUGUUUCUCUACCCUUCAAGAUUAUUCUAGGUGGUUUAAGAAUGAAACUGAUGAGACAGCGAGAGAAAAAAUAAAAAACAAAGUUAAUUACA
ensembl:lncRNA